AGAGCCGGACAUGGGGCUUGAACUCACAAGCCACGAGAUCAUGACCUGAGCCGAAGUCGGACGCUUAACCAACUGAGCCACCAAGGCGCCCCAAGCACAUAUUUCUUAAUCAAGGUUAAAUCUUUGCAUCAAUAAUGAGGGGUUUAUUAAAAAUUUUAACUUUUUAGAUAUACAUUAACCUUUUCUUUUUAACACCAAAUAUUCUCGAUAGCUGUUGUAAUAAGUGAAGUGGUACUUUACUUUUGAUGAAAAUGUACCUAAUGACCAACUGAAUACCUAAGUCUGCUCUAGUGGACACAGGAAAAUGCACUGAAGGCCGUGGACACUGAACUGUAUCUCCGUGAAUGGAGUCUUGGGUGGAUAGAAUGUCAACAUCUAACCAUUUGAAUUUUACUAAAACAAGUGUCUGGAUAAUCAUGCGUUAAAGUAUUUUUUUUCCUUACACUCUUUUAAAUCUUUCCUGGUGAUCCCAAAUUGUACCUAUUGGGUUGUAGACUGCAUUAUUCACUCCUUAGGAGAGAGGGAAAAAGAUAAUUCAUUGUAUUUUAGGUAAGAAGAACUGUUGCUAAUGAAAAAAGUUUAAGGGAUAAACCUCCCAAAAUUUGGCCCUGGAAAGAAAUUUAUAAUGCCUCUAACCCUCAUUUGUUAAGAUGUAGCUGGGCGGUGAAAAGUGGUAUUCUGGGGCUGGGGGCGCUCAGCAUCCCUGGCCCUCACUCACCAGUGCCACUCAGUCGCUGUUGACUCCCCACACCAACACAUACGUGCUUAAAAAAAAAUAAUGGGGGAAGACAUACGAAGAAUUGCUCAAAAUAGGUGUUCCUCUGAGACGUAGGGAAACUGUGACCUGUCCAAGGUUCUAUAGUUCUGUGACAGAACUGGAAUCUGAACUUGAUCUUUUCAGACCUAGAAGUGUUUUGAAAUUUAGAUUUCAUGCAGUUACUGCUUUAGGAACAGCCCUAAUUCAUCAACACUGAUACGUGGACAUUUCAGAGGGAAGAAGGUGACAAUGGUUAAUGCAUUUCUAUUGUGACUCACCUUGAGGAAAUUACUCGGAGGCUUCCAGUUACAGAAGAGAUGGCCCGAUGGCAGCGGAGUGUGAAGCCGUCCGGAUGGAUGAUCAUGCCACCUCUAUCAUGUCCUUAAGAACCUGUCUUCCAGCCUCAGUGUUGACCUUUCCCUAGAGUAGGAGCUUAGCAGUUGGUUCUAUUUAAGGAAAGUUCUAAUGACCAGGAAGUAUGUGUCCCUCUAGUACCUAGAAAUUUACUUCCCGUCAGAUUUGUGAAUACAGUUCAAUCCCAGAAGCAUUCUCUGUCCUACUGUGGCUUGUCCAUUUUUUCUUUCUUUCUU